rnacentral:tRNA from 1 species
GAAUGCGUAGCUCAGCCGGUAGAGCAUCUGCCUUUUAAGCAGAGGGUCGCAGGUUCGAGUCCUGCCGCAUUCACCG